UGGGGAAUAUUGCACAAUGGGCGCAAGCCUGAUGCAGCCAUGCCGCGUGUAUGAAGAAGGCCUUCGGGUUGUAAAGUACUUUCAGCGGGGAGGAAGGGAGUAAAGUUAAUACCUUUGCUCAUUGACGUUACCCGCAGAAGAAGCACCGGCUAACUCCGUGCCAGCAGCCGCGGUAAUACGGAGGGUGCAAGCGUUAAUCGGAAUUACUGGGCGUAAAGCGCACGCAGGCGGUUUGUUAAGUCAGAUGUGAAAUCCUCGGGCUCAACCUGGGAACUGCAUCUGAUACUGGCAAGCUUGAGUCUCGUAGAGGGGGGUAGAAUUCCAGGUGUAGCGGUGAAAUACGUAGAGAUCUGGAGGAAUACCGGUGGCGAAGGCGGCCCCCUGGACGAAGACUGACGCUCAGGUGCGAAAGCGUGGGGAGCAAACAGG
rnacentral:rRNA from 1 species